rnacentral:rRNA from 1 species
GUAGGGAAUCUUCGGCAAUGGACGAAAGUCUGACCGAGCAACGCCGCGUGAGUGAAGAAGGUUUUCGGAUCGUAAAACUCUGUUGGUAGAGAAGAACGUUGGUGAGAGUGGAAAGCUCAUCAAGUGACGGUAACUACCCAGAAAGGGACGGCUAACUACGUGCCAGCAGCCGCGGUAAUACGUAGGUCCCGAGCGUUGUCCGGAUUUAUUGGGCGUAAAGCGAGCGCAGGUGGUUUAUUAAGUCUGGUGUAAAAGGCAGUGGCUCAACCAUUGUAUGCAUUGGAAACUGGUAGACUUGAGUGCAGGAGAGGAGAGUGGAAUUCCAUGUGUAGCGGUGAAAUGCGUAGAUAUAUGGAGGAACACCGGUGGCGAAAGCGGCUCUCUGGCCUGUAACUGACACUGAGGCUCGAAAGCGUGGGGAGCAAAACAGGAUUAGA